GACACGGCUACAUCAAGCUGAAUAGAGCGAAGGGCUGGAGGAGACGCAAUCGGAAAUUCUCACCUCUUUCAAACAACAUGGGAGAUACACCCAGUGAAGCACUUCAGCAGCUCCACCUACUGCAGUAGUACUUAAAAGCCUCGUGUUCCAGGGCCGAGGCCGAUGCUGUUGAAGAUGUGCACCCCAGACCUGUGCCCUCGCACACAGACCCACAUCAGCCCGCGGAGCUGGAGAGGGAAGAAGGAAGAAGACGUCACCGGACUGUUUUGUGCAUCCCUGUUCCUAGACCUGGCAAGAUGAAGACGAGAGGCUGCAGGAAAGGAGGUUUCUUCCAUUUAACUGGAUAGCGAAAGAGAGGAUUGACAGAAUACUAAUGAAUAUAUUCUAAAUUACGAAGACUCAGUGUUCAACAUAUACAAGCAUUGCAGGAUUUUCUCUAAGUUCUUGUCACAAAACAUUUGAUGGAAAUAUUUUCCAAGGAUCCAAAGAAUUUGUAAGUAUUGCAGUUGUGCUACCAAAUUCAUGUAGCAGGACACAGGAAGAGAAAAAUGAUGUAUCUCAGCAAAGAACAGGCGGAGUUAACCACAUCACUCUGAGACUCUUGGGCAAUUACUCUGCUCUUCCAGCCACCGUCCCUUCUAACGCAGCUCCCUCCAGUCUAUGCCUUUACUUCACUGUUCUUCCAACUGCUGAUGUAAUAUUGUUUUCCCAAAAAAUCCAGCGAAGGGCAGCGCCUGUGUCCUGAGCAAAGUCCAUCAGAGCCAGUGAUAAUUAGCAGCUGAUUUCAUCAGCCUUUGGUCUCAGAAAUGCAUCAUUUUCCAGAAAGUGUUUGAAAACACUUUCUGUUAAUUAUAUAGUCAAAUGAUGUAAUUUAGUAAAAUGAUGUAAUUUAAUAAUAAUAUUUAGACUGUAGACUCUUUGACAGAAAUCUUUUUUCACAACAUAAACCUGCAAAGAGACUCUUUGAUUCCGCCUAAAUUUUGACUGAAUUCAAAACACAUUCAAAUAAUGACAAUAAUCAGCAUUCAGCUUUUCCUACAAGCACACAUUUCCUACCAGUUGGCCACUCUGGACAGAGCAGAGCCGGGUGCUGAGCCAGGUGCUGAGCCAUGUGGGCACCCAGCGCUUUGGCUCGUGCAGCUCUGAGCCCGUCCGUGCCUCGCACUCACCCCUUGUUGUUUUACUUUUCUAAUUUCUUGCGUGCACCUCAGUGCGUGCCAUGGACAGUGUGGCUGAGACACGAACGCGCUGCCCCGUCCACCCCCGCAGCUGCCGCCUCCACCCAGCACCGGGAUGGACUCGGCGCUGGCCCCACUGCCAGCAAACCCGUCUGCCUCCCACCCCACUCCAGCCUUCUCGUUUUGGGGCAGCCCGCUCUGAACCUCGCCAAACGCGAAAUUGCUAAGGACUGUGCAAAAAUUAACCACAGGCGCUGCGCUGUUGAAGUUCAACCCAGUAAAACACAUGGGAGACUUGAACCUCAAAUUACCAAAGCGAGCUGGUUUUCGAAGCGUUUGAGGCUUUGUGUCUGUAAGCGCAGGGUGCCCCAGGGAACACUGCCCAAGGAGGGACGUGUGGGUGUCAAAUGCAGGUUGUUAAACACGGCUCCAUCCACCUUUACCCACCCUGGUAACUGCAGACCUCCUAAAGACGUUGUCAACUGGCAGUCUGGGAGAUGCAGGCACCUCAGCCAGCUGUGCAGUGACACUGGGGGAGGCAAGGGCUCCCUCGCCAUCGCACCCCCUCCCCAGCUCCUCAGCGGGUCUCUGCUCACCAAGGCCAGAAAGGCAUUUCCCACAGCCCAGCGACCAGCUGCAGCCACAGCCCGUCCACAGGGAACGAUAACUUAGGAAAUAUUCCCCUAUUGGCUGAUUUCACUUUCCAAAACACAAGUAUUCUUUGCAGCUUAUUUUAAAGGCGUGCAUGCAAAAACCCAAGAGCUCUGUUUUGCCCUCGUUAAGGCGCAAUUUAACAGCAUCAUCAACGCCGUUGCUUCUCCGCAGCCCAAGGACAGCCACAACAUCCCGGCUUUGGCUGCAGUGGCGCUGAUCCCUUGUGAAAUGGCAUUUCUUGCCCACAAGGCUGCUGCCUAAACACAAGCCACGUAUUUAUUUCCGCUACCAUCCACCUAUCUGUCCAGUUAUCUUCUUUUGUUUCAUAUGUUUAAUUUUAAACCUAAUGUCAAAACUCUGAGUAUAAAAUGAAAUACAUUUUGUUUAAAAUACUCUGGGCAAUUUUUAUAGAACAUCCUUUUGAAAAAAAAAAAGAAGUGCAGAGAUCAAUUUUUUUAAGUCCAUCCUGCAGGCACCAUCAUUUAAUUAUGAGUGAGACAUAAAUUAUGCAUUUACACAUUGUUGCAUUUUCUAUAAAAUGGUGUGGAGAUUUUUUUUUGUAGUUUUUGGAACUCUCUCUUUCUUCCUGGGGGCACUUUGGAGGGAAAAAAAACUGCUGCAGGCUAUACAUUGAUGAAAAAAUUAGCAUUUAUCAGUAUAACACCAUUAUGAGACCAGCAUGGCACUAACAUACACAAAACCUAAAUCUAUUUUUCUGCUUAGACUUAGGAAAACCUGAAAGACUGUGAUCUCACCAGGCAGAAAAUGUCUCCUUGCAGUGUAAGCACUGAAGGUAAUUGGGCAGAAGCAAAUAAUUUGCAUAUAAUUGAACAAGAAAUAGUAAAAAAAAAAAACCCACCCCAGCAAAUAGAUGAGCCAGCACCAAAAGGCCAUUACCUGCACUGAAUUCAACCGGCAGUAUCCGUUCAAAGGAAACCUAAUAACAUGGGUCGGGUCCUGGUUCCAGCCUGCGUUUACGGAGUUGCACAUGACAUCGCCGGUCUCCGGGAAGAUCUCUUCUAUUAAAGCUUUCUCCCCGCUCAAUGCAAUUCUUUCCCCCAGAUCUGGAGUCACUCUUACGACCAAGCAGUCACAAGGCUGGAAAUGUUUCCUUUGUUCUUUCUCUUGUUUCCAUCGCUCAAGUUCCUUAAUCAUAGGCUGCAGCUGGUAAUACUUUGCUUCUUCAUAUAAAAGAUUAAAGUCCUGGGAAAAAAAAGGAAAAGAGAGAGGGAGAGAGAAACUAGAAAUGCUUAUAGUUCUCUGGUAAAAAUGAGUAUUGUUCCUGUUUGACCUACUUAGGCUUAUGUAUUGUCAGCAAGAGUGCAAAGGCAACAGGUAUCCACGUACUCUGUCUUCGUCUUACACCUACACAGAAAACCACACUGUGUUAGUGUUGAAUCUAUUUGAGCUGAACAUGAAGUUCCCAUUGCCCUGAAUUAUUCUUUCACUUACUAUCCCACAAGCUCAAUGCCAGAAGGAUUUACUUUUGGAUUAAGAAAUGAAACUAACUGGCUGCAAUAUGCAAAGGCUGCUGAUGUAAGAGGAGAUGUCCUGAGCCCUAAUCUUCGCCCUUGGCCUCAGAUUUUCACUUCUGAUCUUACAGCAGAUCUCGGGAUCCGCUGUCACCUCUUGCACACGUUACGAGACAGAGAUGUCAGUUCAGCUUCACUUCUCACCUGUCUUUGCUGAGUCUGAAAUUCAGCUGCAGCAGCUCAGCUGCUCCCUGCAUUUCAUGAUUAUUCAUGUAUUUCAAGCGUACUUUGGAGCCUGCUAAGUCAUAUGGAGGCAGUGACCAUCCCGCUGUCUGGGAGCUCAGCUGUGCACCCCAACAACUUAAAAACCACUUCUACCCAGCCAUUUGUCCAUCCCCUCCGUUGGGCUUUGGGCAAUUCAGAUUCCCCAUUCGAUCCAAUUCCCAGCGCACUGAUUGAGACGUCGUCUGUGCAUCCUCUUCGAUAACUUUUCAUCAAAUUUCCAACAGAUCUUCCUAACUCAGCUUAAACAUACGAGUAUGUUGAGGCAAAGGGUGUCAGCAGCCCCCAGACCCAAGGAGGCAGCAGUGCCCACCAGACAAAGCCAGAGAAGAAAGAGGGGGAAGCACCCGGGGGUUACACCAGCCCCACCACCUCCUUUAGCCUCCUGAAGGAUGGAGGAACAACACGAGCGCAGCACCAGCUCAUCUCUCCAGAGACCUGCUGGUUUCUUUCCUGGCUCUUACACCUCUUUACAGAUGGAAAUGCUGCACUGCAUGUAUGGUACAUGACUGGUGUGGAGGGGGCUGUAGGUCAACACCUGGAUAUAAGGGCCAGUUCUCUACCACUGCAAUGCCAUGACAUAAAAGGACUUGAAUUGUUUAGCCUAGAAAGAAGGGCAUGACAAAGAAGUAAUCAAAAAAUGGGCAGCAAAAUGACAUGAAAAAUAGCAGCAGCUCUGCUACUCUAGGACUCAGGGACGAGGGGGAAUCAAAGGCCAAUGAAUGUGCAACACAAAAAUGAGUGAUUCUUCAUAGUGGCUUGGACUUAACCUGUAAAAUCUGCUGCUCUGCAGAACCAAAGCAGUUAGCUGUGUUCAAAUUUGGCAGCGCAGACCCACUGCAGGUAGUGGAGAGGUGCUCCUUCACCCCAGGGCUGCAUAUAGCCUGGAGACCUAUGAAUAUUCACAGUGACACCAGCAAGGUUACAAAAAAAAGAAAAGGUUACAAAAGGGACACACAGUCCUUCACAUCUCUUUGAUGUAUGUUAAGGCUGGGACAAUAUGUGCACCACUAACGGAGGAAAAAAGGAUUGUAGAAACAGAAUGAUGAGACCAAGUGGGAAGAAAUGAGUGGAACAAACACACUCAUGGGAAGGAGAUGGAAGAUGGAAAACAACACGAAAAUUAAAGAAGCAGCCUUGUCCCCUGAUGGAAGGUAUUUUUUCCCCCUCCCCAAAAUCAGAACUCUGCUGAACCAUUACUGCUUUUCUGUGUCCACUGGCAAAGCUCCCUGGUUACUUAGCAUAGGAUGGGUUUAAACCUAUGGGGAUCAGUGGCCUAAAUAAAAAAAACAACCUGUCUGAAACUUUCUGAAAUCUUCGUGCAGGACACAGGAGCAACACAGGCCACUGCUCAACUGCAGUUAUUAGAGAGGUGUGUGCGGGGGCAUAUCGGAUGCUCACUGGGCAUCUGCUGGUCCCACGUAUCUAUUUUUUGAGCAACAGAAAACAGGUAAUGCUAAGGAAAAAGGCAGUGUAAUGCUGUAGAGUGAACCAGAGCAUCCAGUGCUUACUGAAGGCAAUGGAAAGUCUCCCGCUGUUUUCAAUAGCUCCUGAAACACCAGUUCUAGAAUAUCUGUGCUCAUGGUUACUAGAAAAUAACAUUAUUUGUAAGGUCAAUCAAUUGACUAUGUGCUAAGAAAACUCAGCAGUAAAACCCAGAAGAGGUGGUACAGCCAUAAAAAAAAACAGCCCAUUUCUGCAAGUAGGAGAGGUCCAGUGCUCCUGAGGCUCGAUGCAAAGCCCAUUAUGGUCACGAGAGUCUUUUCAACUGACUUCACUGGGCUUUGGACUAGGCUGACAGCAUCCUGAAUCAUGGGAGGUCAGUGGCCCAGCAAGAAACCAAGAAAAAUCACUUUACUCCGAAGGUGACUCUCACCAGCAAAGGUCCCUGCUCAGGGGCAGGGUGCCUCUUGCUAGACUGACAGGGGGGAUGGACAGUCCAGCCUCUGGUUGUGCUGUAGAGCAGCACAAAAAACAUUCAUGAGCUACCAUGAGCCUUCAGCUUCUUGUGGCUGUUGUAGGAACUAGUGGGGAAGGUCUGUCAGGUCACCCAUAAAAGGGAACAGGUAGGCAGGUGGGAUGCACGCAGCCUUUCUCCAUCCCCAGCUGCUGGACAACACAUAGAUCUCAGGGGAAAGGUCAGCAGAUAUUUCAAAGAUGCAGCUUUUUGCCUUUCACAGAAUAAUCUUGGGCUCGUUAUUUGGUAGGAAAGCUUUUCUUUCUGGUGGAUUUCACCUUGGCUGAGCUCUGCAGUCACCUCUGAGGAGGCUGCUGUCUUCCUGGGGAGGAGACGGGCAGUGUGACUGCAAGGCCAACUGUGCUGCUGUUCCCACAUCGGUGCCAGUGGGUCGGCAUGGAUCUGCUAACUGCAGGGAGAAACAGCCAACAGAAACCACAACACCGUGUCUCCCAUGAACCUGAUGCUGUUCUCUCACUAUUACAGAGGUCCUUUAUUUUUAUACCUAAUAUUGACUCCUGAACAGGCUGAAAUAACUCUUUCUGCCCAUUUUUCACAUGUUAUUUUUUGUUUAUAUGAAACAACAAACUGUCAUCCUGACUCAAUGUUUCUUUUAUAUUUUCCUGCUGUGAAGAUCUGACUCCUGGCUAUGAGAGAAAGUUGCUCACUUCGAGGACAACUGCACCGUUUGCUAAGGAGGCACUUGCUUACGGCACACAGGAAUGGCGUCUCCAGUGAUGUUUGCGAAGAGGUGGAUGGCACAGGAAAACAGAGACGAGGCACGAAGAGCAGCACUUGGACUCUACAGCAAUGGAAGCUUUAAGAGGAGCACCCAGUACUGUGGGACCUGUGGCACAACCAGCAGCUGUGGCUGUGGCCAGCGCCAGCAGAGCCAUCCGCUCCAGAGCCCAAAUGCCAUGUGCCCGCCCAGACAGUGCAGCUGUGCCGUAUCCACAGGAAGAAGUUCCCAGGCAUGGUGAGCCUGGGACUCUGCAGCACCGUGCUGUCCGGGAUGAGCAGAAACACCAGGAGACCCCCGGUCACCACACUUGCCUCCGCUGCAUUGGGACACUCCAGUGCUGCAAGAGGGAUGAUACCAGCCUCUCUGGGUAGUGGUAGAUCAGCUUUCUGCUCAAAAGAAACCGUCCAUGCUGCCUGGGCAUUUGCCCACCCUUCUGUCCUCCAGGGAGUAAACUACAUCAUUUUUGCCCAGUCUCAGAAUGUAAGACUGUUGCAAUUGUACUACUGUACAGACACCUCCAGUACAGCUCACACCACCGCUCACUCUGGCACAAAGACAUUGCGGGGAAUUACAGGCAGACUGUAACUGGUUAUAACUCUCUACAAGCAUGUAUGUGGUCGGGAAGUUGCGCCCGGUCCUCUUGAUAUGUAUUUUUGUUAUCACGCUUAAAAUGAUAAAUGAAAGACGCUCCUGUUUAUUCUUAGAUUUCAUUAAUCUGUACCCAAGAUAUUUUUCCUGGCUGUUCACUUAAAGAAACCAAACAUGUCAAGUAUGAUUUGUAAAAGCUAUUUUGAAGGGAAAACAAUUACCAAAGCCCAUAUAUCCACACCGAGUAGGAAGACCUGAGUAACAGUUUUUGCUGGUGGGCCCGAGCCGUUAGCAGAUGCAAAGCAGAAGUGAAGAGGAAUUUCCAGAAGGUUUUAUGUUACUGCAGCCGGAGAGCAGGGACCGAGAGGAAGCCACUCGCUAACAGGUCCGCUGGGAAGAGCCCGGCUCCACGGCCACCUCCCCAAAAAAAGCAGGAGCCCCUUUCCGGGGGUUAUGGAGAGGGGAGGACCCGGGAAGGAGACAGCAAUACACCUGCUGCACAGAGGACACUUGCGCUACAGAAUUAAGCUUGGCAAAAACUUUAAAAUAAUAAGAAAACCAUUAACUGUUGGAUUCUGGGGAGAUACUGAAAGCUGAACCUGGCUUUUCUAUGUGACUGUGAGAGAUUCAUUCUUAAAUACAAUACUAUGGUCAUGGGUUUGAUUCUGGUCCCAGUGAAGUCAAGGCCAAAACAUCCUUUGAUUUAAUUGAAAGCAGAAGCAGGCCCCCGCUUUAACCCUCGUGUCUGCAAACAGAAUAUAACUGGAUGUGAACAGAAGAGGAAAUGUGUUUGGAACUGGUUACAUAUCCAUGUGUGGCUUUUUUUUCCCCCUCUUCUGUAAGAUUAAAAAGCACUCAUUGAAUUUUUUUCCUCAUUCAACAGCAGUGUUAAGUACUACUGGCCCAAAUUCAGCCCUCAUUCCCUCCCAAACAACCCCAGCAGAAGAAGAGGCCCCAGUUUCUCUCUAUUGUUAUCUACCGGUUCCCAUGGAGUUCCACUAGCCAAAUUAGUCUGUGAAAUUGUAUGUAAGUUUUGCAAUGGCAGAAUUUAGGCAGCGGUCUCCUGGAAAGCACACUACAUUCCCCAAAUGCCAAAGCUGCAGCCUUCGGUGUAAAUUGUACUGGUACAACUUGCUGGCAUAACACAGUAUGACACCAAAGAGGUUAAAAAGAGUCUCUGGUUUUCAUUGUCCACUUUCUCAAGAGAGAGAUUUGCUGCUGCAAAAGCAUCUACCAGGUCUAAACGGAUUACCUGCAGCACUGGUAGCAUCUGCACUCCAUUACGAGAGAAGCGUAACGGGAGCCUGCCCUUUGGACUGGGAUUCCUUCAGCGUUUCAGCUUUACGGUGCAAAUCUCAGUUUCCAGUGCUUGCCAAAUGAUCCUUUCUGAGUCUGACCAAGAGUAACGGUGCAAACGCCGCAUAAUAGCUUCCCAGCAUCCACGGGCAGGACUCCUGUCAGGUUUUGCUUUACGAGGUCCUCAGCAGACAAAAAAGCAGCAAAUUGAGCCUUUGAACACACACCAUAGUGCAGCAGAGUGCAAUCAACACAGCACAAAUGAACCCUGGAACACCUCUGCUCAGCCUCUCCGUCCUGCUGCCGGGCUCUGACAGGCAGGCAGUCGCCACAGUGACCGCAUCAAUAAGGAAUGCAAUCGUGCACACACGCGAAGCUGACAGCCAUCCUGCCUGGCAGAGUUUCGAGUAAGAGCAAAUCAGGUAAAAACAAAAAGCAAAUCCCUCUAAAAUGUCUGCAGGUGUCAUUUCUAUUUUAAGCAUCAAAAGAUUGAAGUACAUGCUAACCGCAGCAGAUGAGGUGAAAGAGUAGGCAGUUUGGUGGACAGAGCACAGAGAUGUGAGUUUAUAACUCUAGAGUUUAAUUCCAGCUCUGCAGCUUCCCCCAGCCAUCAAAUUGGGUUAGGAGAGACACCAGCCUGGUGUAACUCUGUAUCAAUGAGGUUAUACCAGGGAUGAGAGUGACAAUACUCAGCUGUUUCAGUCACCAGACUAUGCAUUUAAUGGCAGUACAACACAAGGGAACAGGCUGAGGUGCUGCAAGGACAUACUCAUCAAUUUAUUACAUUUCAUGUAACACAGAAACUUGGCAAAGGCACCUUGGCUAGCAGUAGUGUGGGCACAACCUGCAUCAGCUACAGCUUGGCAUCCUCCACACUGUCUUGUUCCUGUGUUCCAGAGAUCUAGCCUGCCUUACGCUUUCAAAUAUGAAUCCUGUGUUUGCAUGCCUGCAUAUUUCUUCUAUUUAAAUAUGCAAUUUGUUCUUAAGAUUUUUUAUUAACCCAUGAAUAGAUUAAUUCUGAUUUCAGUUACACAGCUACAAAUCUGGAGUAACUCCUUCAAAACCAGCAGAGUCAUCUCUUUGGGGAGACCAUCUGACCAGGAAAGGUACAUGAACACACUUCUAAGUACACGAUGCUUUGUCUUCAUUUGCCUGUUGGUUUUACACUUUCAGAUGUUUUUGGGACCGAGUACUGUGGAUACCAAACAGAAGCAUCUUCCUACAACGUUAAGGUUCUUUUAACUCCUCUCCACACAUCACAUCAGCAUAUAUCCCUGGUAUGAUUUCAGAGGUCAACAGGGCUACACUAGGGAUUAUUUUGGCCAGGUUUAUUAUUAGGGCAGUUUUCUAAAAGAACAGGGCUUAUUUUGUUUCCAUUUACACUUGCAGUAAAACUCUCAUUGACUUCACUGCAAGAGAGAUUUGGCCCAACAUACCAGUAUCCAAACCACCUUCAUUUAUUUCAGUGAAAGCAGGCAAGGAAUUAAUAAGGCCCAAUGUAUUUUUAAAUCUUAGAUUUCAUAAAUGAUCACAAGCAUGUAGGUCACAAUAUAUACACAGAACGACACCUACGACAACCACCAAAGGGAUCAUUAAAAUAAUUAAGUUAGGCCUAGAGACAAAUUCAUUUCAUAACAUGUUCCUUACAAAACAGAUACCCCCCUGCUUCAUAAUCUAGGGAGUCUGUUUUAUAAACUUCCUAAGCAGUUCAUGAAAUAUACCCCUAAGCAGACCAGGUCUACUUGCCAUUGCAGGGUCUAUAUAUCAAAAGACAAACAAACAUCAGUGACACAUAUUCAAAGACCAAAUAUUAAAAGGUAAUGCCUUGUCUGCUCCACUGGCACGGUGGUUACUGUGACCUCAGGACACGAUUUCCCAUACAAAGCUACUGAAUUGGCAUCUUUACAGAACUCUUCUGCAUGCGAUGAGGGAGCUGGAUGCACAGCACAUGAAGAAGCAAUCCAUAAAGGAGAUUCCCCUUUGCUUUCAGUGUAAAGCUGCUACACCUGUGAGCGUGAGCACAGGUGCAGCACUUUACACCACCCUCACCAGCAGGAAACAACCUCCACUAGCAGUGCAUAAAGGAGGAGACAGGUUGCUCCCAUGAUAUCCUAUGAGAGUGUUUUCUUAAAAUAUGUUUCUAAUGCUUUUUGUGCUACUGUCCUGAAAAUGACUGCUGAAAAAUACUUGAAUUGUGCUGCUAGCGCCAAAACACCCCGUCAGGUGAGUGGUAAGCAAAGUAACUAUGAAAGAAAUGAUGAAGUAUUUGAUCAGCUAACUUCAGAAACUGCUACAGAGUGCUAAACAAUGAGUUGAAUUUUUGUUCUCCUUGUUUGCUGGCUUUUCUUUGUGAGUUUUGAUAAACCAGACUAGUUUUUCAGCCUGUUUAAAGCAGGAAGGGCAGAAAUCACUAGCGUGCUAAGUGUAACUCAGCUAUAGUCAUGUUAUCCUUGCAGAAGAAGCAAGGAAGAACGAAAAAGGAGACAAGGUCAGCUAAGUUUUGCACCUAAGGUACUGGAGACACUGUUCAACAUCCAUCUUCUGGACUCCUUUGAGAGGCCAUAAAUGAUAUCCCCCAAUUGCAGCCACGCUGCAUGAGCUGCACGGAGGUGCCUGCUCUUCCUUUUGACUCGGCAAGCUGAAUAAGCUAGCAGACAGAUAGGAUUGUGCAGUUUUCUCAGCUUCAGGGGUUUUUAGCAGCCUGUGCCAGGUGUAGCAGCACAGCUACAAUUUUAUUUCUGUAAGUCAGAUGAGUGUGAGUUGCUACUUUCUCUUCUCCAUGACUAGCUUGGUCUGCCCCUUCUUAGAUGCCCUAAUACCCAUUUAUGCCUAGAACUCCCCACAACCCAGGCUGUACAUGUGUACGGAGAAACAGUAAUUUCUGAACAAGUGUUCGUCAGAGACUAGCUAGGCAUUAUUUUCUUGUAUGUUUGAUCAAAUAUUCUAGGUAAACACACAAAUAACUCAUUCAUCAAAAGGACCCAAUUACAGUACUAUUUGUACUCCCACAGGGUAAGCUCAGCUUUCUUCUCCAGAGCCUGCAGGCAGUCCCUGGGCAGCAGCUGUGCUGGGUCAGGCCGUGGUUAUGAAGUCCAGUAAGGGCUAAACACCUUGUUGUGGCUCCUCACAUGCUAGUUGGUAGGAGAUCCUGGAGAGGUGGACACAGGUCUGAAGAAUCAGUUUCCAUAUAAAUUCCUUCCCUCCUGUCUUCCCCAGGACACUGGGGUGAAGUGUUAUGGAGACUGUUCUACUUUACCACCAAAGCUGCUACUCCAACUGUAGAACAGCAGCCCUGGGAAUGCAAGGAAAUGUGCUGUCAUAGUGUAUUGCCAUGGGCUCUGCCAGACCCUGAAUCCAGGAUUUUUUCCCCAUUAGUGAGAGUGAGAGACAGGGUAUCUAACAUCAUCAUUCCCAGCUGUGACCACAUCCCUGUCAUGGAUUAUUUUUAUUUUCCAUAGAGGCCAAGCCAUGUACCCCUCCUAUGGCACAGGUCAUGCCCUAGUGCUCCUAGACCCAGGACUGGUGCAACUCCUGCUGCAGCAGCUCCAGCCGGUCUGUACAAUGAAAUGGUUCCUCACCUGCGCUGACCGUGUUUUACCCCACACGCUGCCCAGGGGCUGUGCUGGAUGUGUCCUCGCAGCAAUGCACGUCUGCCCAUAGGAACUAAUGCUCCACACCUGUCCUAGAGCUUAUCAAAGUGCUGCAAGUCCUUGUGUGACCUCAGCCACAGAGCGCUCGUACAAAACAGCAAUACUUGGCUUCACAGGUGGGGAAAGACUGGUUCAUUUUACGCUGUCUGAUUCGGUAGCCUGGGAAUAACAGUUCUUUCAUUUGCUACAGCUCCCACUCCGGUGAGUACAACACCCAUGGGAUUGUAUGCAGGCUUUUGGGAGACAGAGGGUGGGAAGGGGCAAGACCCUUUUUAAAGGAUUUUUUUUCCUUGUCUGGUCUGCUGGUCAAAAUUCCCUUGGAAACCAAAGAGAGAUUUUCCCAGUCAACAACCAAAUAAGAAAAAACUUAGAUUUAUCUCUAAAUUGAAGGUGCAACGAUGAUGAAACCAAAAAUGAUUUUAAUCUCUAUGAAAAUUCUUACGUUAAUUCAGAAAAUGAACUGCAUAUAACCAAAACCUCUGGUUUUCGGCUUAUUUACUUGUUCUCAUCGGCAGUGUACACCUGAUCACCUUGAAGAACGGCAGAGCUGCAGGGAGCCCUGGCAGGCUCACCCUUCUCUGCAGAGGGUGCGCAGUGUCACUAGAUGUGCGCAGUGCUCAUGCACCGUGCCCACAACCUGAGCAUUUGUAACGUGCAGGAAAAACCCUUGCUCCUGCCUCCUCAGGUGUUUUGCUUUAAAGUCAGCGUACAGUUUAACUUCACAAUACCUAUUAAAAUUAAUGAGCUCUGCGCUGCAGCUCACAUGCAGGAGCACUUUGUAGCGCUUUGCAUGAAUGUGGGCUGCUGGCUCCGACUCAGAAACUCUUUGCCUUUUGGGUAAUACACAACAGUUCAUAGCCUCAGAGCGUCAGAGCCUGGUGUCACCGCACAAACAGGGCACUCAACAGCUGACCCCAGUGGGAGGAGUGCCACCCCAUGAAGGGUGAAAUGUGCCAUGGCAGCAUGUUUGCCUACAUCCUUCCCUGUGCAUAAGACAGCAUCACUUGGCAGGUGUGCAGGGAUGGGGGGAGAUUGAAUGCACCAUACAGAUGGGGGGAGGUGAGGAGUUGAAGAGGUUUGGGAUGCAGGUAAGUCAAGGUGGAUGCUACUGAUACCAGUGCGGCAUGGGGCUGGCAGGAGAGCUGACACUGCUUCUGCUCCAGCCCAGCAUCCUGCCCUCCAAUGUGCUGUGUUUUCACAGCCACCACUCCCUGGUUAUGAACAAAUCUUGUCUUCGCUCCACUUACAGGCCUUGUUUAAGGCGUGAUUUACACCACAACUGCCAGCAUGGGGUAAGUGACAAAAUUUGCUAAUUGGACACUGUUUUCAGGCAAUAACAUCAAUAAUACACAGAUUUGAUGGGAAAUGAGCAAAUAAGUUAUUAUAAGAGUGAUACUGGAUUGAGCAAGAAAUGUGAGAUGUUCUUGAAUAUGCUGAGUCUGGAGAAUGAUAUAUCCUAAAAAUAUGCAAAUUAGGAAUUUCCGUGCUCCCUCCCAAGUGCAGAGCAGGACCCAGUAUGGAGCCCUGAGUGUAAAUGAUGACGUGGAAGAUCUGCCCUGUAGCAGGUGUGUCUGAGCUUCUGAAACCACUGUACAUGGCUAUUCCAGGUAAACAAUCAUGUUCUGUCAGGGACAAGCGAGGGGUCCUGAAACUUGGAAAAGCGUGUUCCCUUGAGCUCAGUCCAGGCAAGUGUGGCAGCAGAAAGGGUGGGGAGAAGCAGAAGAUCUGGGUGUCAGUGCUGAGCUCCAGCAACUACAGAGAUGGAAAUGCUGGAAGAAAAAGGUAGGGGAACUAAAAACCUCACAUAUCUCUAGAGCAGCUAGAACCAGGUGGUCAUGCUUAGUAGAAGGUGGGUCUAUACAAGAAUGACUAUUUGUUUUGACAAGAAAUAUUCAGAGAAGACACAUGCUUUAGGGAACUCCUUUGUAAAUCACCAUAAAAGUCCAUUAGUUCAGAGGAAAGUGAGGCAGGGAUAUGCCUGGAAAACUCUACUGUGUCUUGUAACAAUGUCCUAGUUUCAGCUGGGAUAGAGUUAACUUUCUUCAUAGUAGCUGGCAUAGUGCUGUGUUUUGGAUUUAGGAUAAGAAUGUUGAUAAUACAUUGAUGUUUUAGUUGUUGCCAAGCAAUGUUUAUACCAAGACAAGGAUUUUUCAGCAAGAAGGCUACAGGUGCACAAGAAGCUGGGAGGGAGGACAGCUGACCCAAACUGGCCAAAGGGAUAUUCCGUAUCAUAUGAGGUCAUGCUGAGUACAUUUCUGGGGGAAGAAGAAGGAAAAGAGGGAUGUUCAGAGUGAUGGCAUUUCUCUUCUCAAGUAACCAUUACAUGUGACAGAGCCCAGUUUUCCUGGAGAUGGCUGAACACCUGCCUGCCCGUGGGAAGUGGUGAAUUAAUCCCUUCUUUUGCUUUGCUUGCGUACAUGGCUUUUGCUUUACCACUUAGACUAUCUCAACCCAUUACUUUUCUCACUUUUCUGAUUCUCUCCCUCAUCCCACCAGGGCAAAAAUGAGUGAAUGGCUGUGUGAUGCUUAGUUGCUGGCUGGGGUAAAACUGUGACAAAAAGGUAAGGUCACUAGUUUCUGAAACAGUUAAUAAAGCUUGUGCUGGUUUUCUUUGGAAGACAGAGCCUUCAGAAAAGGGGACAGUAAAGCCCUAAAAGCUGAGAUCAGGCUGUGCACUCUGUUAGCACCGGUUCAGCACGCCUUGGGCUGCGGGGCCAGAAAGCUCCAUUUUCCUGAAGAGCAAAGGCUGGGAGCAGGGAGCUCCCAAACACGGUGCAGCAUCAACUGCUGGGAAGGCUCCCUGGUCCGUGCACCCACACCAGUCCCACCUAGAUGUCACCGCUUCGAUUACAAAUUAUUCCUGCUCGCUUUUGUCAUGUGACUAACACCACAGAAAACAUGAGCUUUUAUAAAUACAAUUUGAAUGAUAGAACGUACUUAUCUUUAUUAGAGGGUUACACAACAAAUACUAAUUAACCAAGAAUGUAAGGUAAAUGUAUUUACCUUUUAUAGCAGAACUCACAAAGAGCUCAUGGUAAUUCUCUGAGUUAAAAACACUAUUCAGGGCUGUGAAAAGGGCAGGCUUCUGAUGAAAGAUCUUGUUCUGCUUUCUAACAUAAAUUCAAAGUGAUAUUAGAAUUUCCAGUGAAAUAGAGAAGCUGUGGCUUGCUGUGGUAUACAGCGGUUUGGAACCCGUACUUCUUUUCCACCUGAAGUCAAUGAGAUGUCUGCCAUUGAGCUCAGUGGGAGUAAAACUGGAAGACCUGGCAGUGUCUUUGGGUAUUCCUGACUGCACAUUGGGAGCUUGGACUUCAGGUGUGGGUUUGUUUUUUAAAUGUAAGAACCAUCUCACUCCCUUGGAUAAAUACAAUUUGCAACUCGCUCUAUAGAUGUGCUAGAGCUUCUGUGGCCUUUACAAUCUGUCGUAUAAAUCCGUACUCAAGUGUCAAUGUGUGAAGAGGGUACUUUAGAGGUCCUUUGGGUGAAAACACAAAUGGAAUUUCUAGAGGAGAAUAAUUUGUUUUCUUAGCUGGUUACUUUAGAAAUAAGAUGUUGCUAGUAAGAGUCACUAGCUGAAUUCAACAUUGUUGUUUUUCUUUGUAACUGUAACUCACAACUACCACAGCUGGGAGUUUUGGGGGGAGAACUUGCAGAAAACCAUAGAAAUCGAGCCUCAGAUCCAGCUUUCUUCCUUGUAUGCUGUUUCAUUCAAAAAGCCAACUGGAAAGGUUUUAAGUAGUGUAAGCUGCUGCACUAAUACAAACAACAUCAAAGGCUUUGUCAAAGUUGCUCUGGAAGGACUCUUGGAUCACCGAAAUGCAAGAUUUGGCCUCCGACUUCACACCACCAGCCACUCACUCACAUGUGUCUCUCAGAAGAGCUAUCUCAUUCCUCCUGCACCUGCAGGACACCUGGGAUCCCCUUCCCAGCCAGACCACUGUAAAGACACUCUGUGCCUUAUGGAAGAUACAUGAGGACAGUGAGGCACCAGCAGGAGUUCCAACCAACCCCCACUGAAAUAACUGCAAGUACUUUGCCCUAACCAGGAGUGAGAGCAGGCCAGGCUCAAUGGGGGGGAACCAGCCAAGGCUACCAUGCAGCACUGCACAGAACCACAUUAAAGAAAAAAUAAAGAAAGUAAAAGAAAAAUAAAUAAAUAAAGUGUACCCUCCAUCCAGCGUCAUAACGUCUCAUCCUGUAAACUGUUACUCCAGCGAGAACUAAAGCUUCAGCAGCUGAAAAAGCAUUCAAGCCUUCUGAGAUAACACAGCACUACAAACGUACGACCACGCACCACAAAACAUGAGGCAGCACAUGAGCUCCGGUACAUGCCUCUUUCCACACAACGAACAGAAAUGGGCAGCGAGCUGGUAAACACCAAGGUCUUACCUGGAGUCUGGGUACUUUGUCAGGGUAGCCAGGCUGCUGGUGUACAUGUGUCCUCCUACAUCGAUGUGCACGG